AGAGUUUGAUCCUGGCUCAGGACGAACGCUGGCGGCGCGCCUAACACAUGCAAGUCGAACGAGCGAGAGAGAGCUUGCUUUCUCAAGCGAGUGGCGAACGGGUGAGUAACGCGUGAGGAACCUGCCUCAAAGAGGGGGACAACAGUUGGAAACGACUGCUAAUACCGCAUAAGCCCACGGGUCGGCAUCGACCAGAGGGAAAAGGAGCAAUCCGCUUUGAGAUGGCCUCGCGUCCGAUUAGCUAGUUGGUGAGGUAAUGGCCCACCAAGGCGACGAUCGGUAGCCGGACUGAGAGGUUGAACGGCCACAUUGGGACUGAGACACGGCCCAGACUCCUACGGGAGGCAGCAGUGGGGAAUAUUGCACAAUGGGGGAAACCCUGAUGCAGCGACGCCGCGUGGAGGAAGAAGGUCUUCGGAUUGUAAACUCCUGUUGUUGAGGAAGAUAAUGACGGUACUCAACAAGGAAGUGACGGCUAACUACGUGCCAGCAGCCGCGGUAAAACGUAGGUCACAAGCGUUGUCCGGAAUUACUGGGUGUAAAGGGAGCGCAGGCGGGAAGACAAGUUGGAAGUGAAAUCUAUGGGCUCAACCCAUAAACUGCUUUCAAAACUGUUUUUCUUGAGUAGUGCAGAGUAGCCGGAAUUCCCGGUGUAGCGGUGGAAUGCGUAGAUAUCGGGAGGACACCAGUGGCGAAGGCGGCUACUGGGCACCAACUGACGCUGAGGCUCGAAAGUGUGGGUAGCAAACAGGAUUAGAUACCCUGGUAGUCCACACCGUAAACGAUGAUUACUAGGUGUUGGAGGAUUGACCCCUUCAGUGCCGCAGUUAACACAAUAAGUAAUCCACCUGGGGAGUACGACCGCAAGGUUGAAACUCAAAGGAAUUGACGGGGGCCCGCACAAGCAGUGGAGUAUGUGGUUUAAUUCGACGCAACGCGAAGAACCUUACCAAGUCUUGACAUCCUCUGACGAACGUAGAAAUACGUUUUCUCUUCGGAGCAGAGAGACAGGUGGUGCAUGGUUGUCGUCAGCUCGUGUCGUGAGAUGUUGGGUUAAGUCCCGCAACGAGCGCAACCCUUAUGGUCAGUUACUACGCAAGAGGACUCUGGCCAGACUGCCGUUGACAAAACGGAGGAAGGUGGGGAUGACGUCAAAUCAUCAUGCCCUUUAUGACUUGGGCUACACACGUACUACAAUGGCGUUAAACAAAGAGAAGCAAGACCGCGAGGUGGAGCAAAACUCAGAAACAACGUCCCAGUUCGGACUGCAGGCUGCAACUCGCCUGCACGAAGUCGGAAUUGCUAGUAAUCGCAGAUCAGCAUGCUGCGGUGAAUACGUUCCCGGGCCCCUUGUACACACCGCCCGU
rnacentral:rRNA from 1 species